GCCUACGGGGGGCAGCAGUGGGGAAUAUUGCACAAUGGGGGAAACCCUGAUGCAGCAACGCCGCGUGAGUGAAGAAGGUUUUCGGAUUGUAAAGCUCUGUUAGCAGGGAAGAGGAAGGACGGUACCUGCAGAGGAAGCCACGGCUAACUACGUGCCAGCAGCCGCGGUAAUACGUAGGUGGCAAGCGUUAUCCGGAAUGACUGGGCGUAAAGGGUGCGUAGGUGGUUUAGUAAGUUGGCGGUGUAAUUCCGGGGCUCAACCUCGGCGCUACCGCCAAAACUAUUAGACUAGAGUGCAGGAGGGGG
rnacentral:rRNA from 1 species